rnacentral:rRNA from 1 species
UACGUAGGUGGCAAGCGUUGUCCGGAUUUACUGGGCGUAAAGCGCGCGUAGGCGGACCUGCAAGUCGGGGGUGAAAGCCCGAGGCUCAACCUCGGAACUGCCUUCGAUACUGCGGGUCUCGAGUCCGGGAGAGGUGAGUGGAAUUCCUAGUGUAGAGGUGAAAUUCGUAGAUAUUAGGAAGAACACCAGUGGCGAAGGCGGCUCACUGGCCCGGUACUGACGCUGAGGAGCGAAAGUGUGGGGAGCGAACAGG